rnacentral:lncRNA from 1 species
UAAGUUGUUAUUUUGAUCUUAUUGUUUAUAUCUGAUGAUUGUCUUUGUGAGUUUUCUACAAGAGAUAUCCAUCUGAUACAUUUGAAGACAUUGAAGAUUGCUUGCCUUUGGAGUGCUUGCUUGGAAGUUUGGCUAUCUUUAUUUGAUACCAUUUGGUCUUCUUAUUAAUUGCUUGGAUGAUUAUGCUUGUUGCUUGCUUAAAAGUUCAAAGGAAAUAGGUUUCUAUCUGACACUCUUGUAUUG